CAGACCCUGAAGAUCUACUUGAUGGUGCAGAGUGGGAGGAGGAAUAUCAAUAAGUUCCAAUUGAAGAGCGGAUUCUUUUGCAAUUCAGGCAUGUGCCGGCGAUAACGGGCGAGUUGGCAUGAAGAGAGGCAGAGAUGGAUUAAUUAUGCAGAGAACAUGGAAAUUCUGCUUAUCAUCGGCUAGCAAAGGAGCCCGGCUCACAUAAUCAGCAAACGAAGGGAGAGGAAAAAAUAACAAUGCAAUGGCACCUUCCAGCCCAUCAUCAGGAUUUUUUCUACCCCCUUGUAAUUAAAAAAUAACAUACACUUAUAGCCCUAUCUCCUGUGCAGGCAAGGAGUGGAUGUCCACAAAAUAAUUGCACUGGGAUAUUAGAGCUGGCGACACGGGCUGUCCAUUCCGGCUUGCUCUCCUGCUCACCCUCUUUCUCUUUUGGCCUCUCAAGGUACUUUGCUUCUGAAACCAGUCCAAAUCAGAGGGAUGUCUCAGGUGACAUUCUAGCUCGGUUUCCAAAAAUCCCAAAUUGGUACCUUAUCAUGAUCCAAGCAAACAUACAUACAUAUAUGAUAAAUAUUUGGAGGGCUGACUCUAGGGGAAGCUUUGGAACUGAUCACCUGUGGACUAUCUGGUCAGUUUCAUUUUUGAUGAAACAUGUCCAAAUAGCCUUCAUUUUGCAAAGUGACUGGAUUAAAAUGGUGGCUGUGCAAUGACUGUGCUAUCUUCUCAAAUCAUUUAACUUAUUUACAACUUUUUGUUUCUAUUAACUUUGCCAACUCAUUUUAUAAAUGUAAGUUAAUGAUUGCAAUGUUUGUUCCUCAAAAUCAGAAUUAACAGUUCUCUAUUGUCAUUGUAAAAUCUGACAGCUCAAUGCUUUGUAUUUCUCUAAAUGCCAGAAGACUACAAUAAACCUAGUUUAUUGCUUUGAAUAAAAUAAAAUUUAAUCUUACA